AGUGAACGCUGGCGGUAGGCCUAACACAUGCAAGUCGAACGGCAGCACAGUAAGAGCUUGCUCUUACGGGUGGCGAGUGGCAGACGGGUGCGGAAUACAUCGGAAUAUACUUUUUAGUGGGGGAUAACGUCGGGAAACUUACGCUAAUACCACAUACAACCUACGGGUGAAAGCAGGGGAUCUUCGGACCUUACGCGAUUGAAUAAGCCGAUGUCGGAUUAGCUAGUGGGCGGGGUAAAGGCCGGCUAAGGCGACAAUCCGUAGCUGGCCAGAGAGGAGGACCAGCGACACUGGGACUGAGAGACGGGCCAGACUCCUACGGGAGCCAGCAGUGGGGUAUUUCGGGCGAUAGGCGCAAGCCUGAUCCAGCCAUACCGCGUGGGUGAAGAAGGCCAUCGGGUUGUAAAGCCCAUGUGUUGGGAAAGAAAAGCAGCUGGUUAAUACCCCGCUGUUCUGACGGUACCCAAAGAAUAAGCACCGGCUAACUUCGUG
rnacentral:rRNA from 1 species